GCCAGGUGUGGUGGUGCACACCUGUAAUCCCAGCUACUUGGGAGGCUGAGGCAGGAGAAUUGCUUGAACUAGGGAGGCAGAGGCUGCAGUGAGCCAGGAUCACAUCAUUGCACUCCAGCCUGGGCAACAAGAGCAAAACUCCAUCUCAAAAAAAAAGAGAGACAGCUCUGUUGUCCAGGCUGGAGUGCAGUGGCACGAUCAUAGCUCACUGUAGCCUCAAGCUCCUGGCCUUAAGUGAUCCUCCUGCCUUA
rnacentral:sRNA from 1 species